rnacentral:lncRNA from 1 species
ACACUUGUAUCUGGACACACACCCGGGAUUUAGGCCUGCCAAGCAGCCAUACUUACCAAACCAGUCCAAAAGAGAAAGAACAAGACUAGCCACGGUGUAUCGGUGCAUUUUCUAUAAAUUUGGGGUCGCCAUUCUCUUUGCCUUGUUUUCUCUGCAGAAACCUUCCAGGAAAACGGAGAGUUGAGAAAAGCAAGAGAAACAGUUAGGUGAAAUCAACCGAACCGAAACCUCUCCAAAGGCUGCUAAAGCAACUCAACUCUAUCACUGGGGAAGAUCAGCUCUCUGCAGGAUGGAUGUGAAACCCCCCCGGGGGCCAAGUUCUUACUAGAGGUAAGACACCCCUCACCCCCUAGUCCCUUGCGCCUUCCUGGCCUCAGCCCAACACUUGUGUCAGGUACUGGGUCCUCAGUGCCAGGUGUCUUUAAAGGAGCGGUGUCACUGAGAGAAAGUGGUUUAUCUCCCAAAGGACAGAGGAGCCGGAAGCGUCCUGUCUGUGCAGGUAGGUGCCCGCAGAGGCCGCUUCUCUCAGGACUCAAGUUGUCGCUCUUACCAGGUACUCGGCGCCCAAGCACUGCAUGGUACCCGGCAUCUGGGAUUGGCGGCGGCGGUGGUCGCCUUGCACACGGGACAGAGGUGCGGCGACCGGGCCAAGUGGCCCAGGAGGGGCGGCAGGGCGAGCAGGGCUCAGCGCCUCCUAGAGGUCCAGGGCGCUGGUCCCCUAGACACGCCCUUUCCGUGGUGGCUUUAGGCUGGGAGGACCUGCUGGGAGCGGGGGUGGCACCUGCGCAGCACCGGUUCCCAGGAAGUGCUCCUGACCACUGUGCGACGCCUGGGCCCGUUGCCAGCGCCUGGAGUUAGAAGUGAGGCCUCAGGGAUCAUUCCUGAGGGCGGGGAGCUUGCAGGGGUGUGUCACACACAGGUAAGUGGUGCUUUGUGUGUGCCGAAUCCUGCCCUGAAAGGUUCACCAGUUCUCUUCCAGGCGCAUCAAGUUGCAAUCUGUUGUCAUCCUUGAGCUAAGAUCAGACAGCAAUGGCGACACUCUGUCAAGGGGCUCAGUGUCUAUCAUUCCAGCUGCUAUUUCUAUAAGGCUGAAUCUUCUCCAGCGUGAGUCCCAGGAACACAAAGCCCUCAGAGGACUGAUUUAAUAUCUCUCUCUCUCUCUCUCUCUCUCUCUCUCUCUCUCUUUCUCUCUCUCUCUCUCUCUCUCUCUCUCUCCUGUCUUUCUCCUCUCUCCUCUCUCUCUCUCUGUCUGUCUAUCAGUAGGUCUCUUUCUCUCCCUUUUGUGUGUGGGGUGCUCACUUCCCUCCUCUUUGCAUCAUCAUCUGAUUUUCCAGUGGGCACCCUUUGAAGCACAUCCAGUGUGAAUGUCCCUGGCAAGAACAGUUUUCUCUUCAACAUUCAGGUGGGCACCAAAGCGCUGCUGAGGUGAGGAGUUUUAAAAAGGGCUGCGGAGGACUUUCCUUCUCGGUCCCCUUUCUCUGCCCCAACCCAUCUACCUGCCCCUCCACACCGUCAGGCUGCUAGCCCACUAAGUGCAGAGGUCCCGUCAUGUUUCAGAAGAUAUUAUUUCGCUCUGGUCCUCUCCGACCUUUGGCUAUUACAAUCUUUCUGCUUCCUCUUUUGGGAUGUUCUCAGAGACUUGUGUGAGUAAUUCGGUGGAAGUUAGAGGCGAAUAGCAUCAGGAUAUAUUGCAUGUAUGUAUAGAAAUAGUAAAAGAUAGUACAAAUAUUAUAUUAAAAAAUAACCAGGGAGUGGUUAGAGGGUAAUGAUCCUUAAUGGAUCUCUGCUGUGCGGGGAGGAAUCCCUUCCAGGCUAAUUAUCUUCCUUCUCACUCUUAGCUCUCAGAACAUUCCUGAAUGCAGGCUUCUCAGAACGAGUAGCUGGAUUUCCAGGGGGCCCUGAAUUCAUCCCCUAGAGUCCCCCCUUCAAGUAGACAUUUGCACAACUACAGAAAGAGCACAGUUUAGCCACAGCAUCUCAAACAAAUUAGUACCAGAACCGAUGGAUGGAGAGGCUUAAAUACACACAGCAUGUAUAUUUAUAUUUACUGUGAUGAUUACGGUAGUAUCGAUGAAGCCGGAAAAUAAAGAUGAAGCAGAACCAAAAAGCUCUGUUAGACAUGGAGAAUAAAAUGAUCAGAAUGACAGCUUAUUUGGCUCCACUUAGUAACAGUGUGGAUUAAGCCAUGGAAGAGAUGUGGCAGAAGCUGAGUAAGAAGGAACGGCAGUGUUUGCGUGACAAUCACAUCUCUUGUCACAUCUUGUCACAUCUCUUGGCCUCUGGAUAUAUGAAUGACCUGGUGAAGAAACCUCCUACUUUCAUCCACCACGUAUCUGCACCAGUCUCUUAUAUGUCUCUUACUCAAGUCUUUUAUGGUGCACACCGGUCUUCAGAAACCAUUUUCUCCUUUCAAAGUGUGAAGACAAUUCUUUGUGUUUCCCUGAAACCUGGUCCUGAUGGGUGCUAUCUGGAGAUGCUCAUUGGAGAAAAUACCAUGUGGUAGAUGUGUUUCCUUAUAUAUGACACAAGUCGUAACACUUAGAAGUGCCACUGAAUGCUUUUAGUGCCCUUUCUUAUGUAAGGUGUCAGAGUGGGAGAAAUAAUUCCAAGGCACCUGGAAAUUCCUUCCCUACAUCUUCUCCGCUGAUCAACCCUAUCUACAGUGUCUUAAAUAGACAAACC